rnacentral:pre_miRNA from 1 species
ACAGGUUUAAUCAAAUUAUCUAGUAUGUACUCCCUCUAUUCCAAAUUGUAAGUCAUUUAAACUUUUCUAGGUACAUAGCUUUUGCUAUGCAUCUAUAGCUACAUAGUUUUUACUAUGUAUCUAGAAAAGCUAGAACAAAUUACAAUUUCAAACAGAGUAGCAUUUAAUUAUAUACUAUUUUUGACACCAUGU